CGCCUGGGGAGUACGGCCGCAAGGUUAAAACUCAAAUGAAUUGGCGGGGGCCCGCACAAGCGGUGGAGCAUGUGGUUUAAUUCGACGCAACGCGAAGAACCUUACCUGGCCUUGACAUCCAGAGAGCUUUCCAGAGAUGGAUUGGUGCCUUCGGGAACUCUGAGACAGGUGCUGCAUGGCCGUCGUCAGCUCGUGUCGUGAGAUGUUGGGUUAAGUCCCGUAACGAGCGCAACCCCUAUCCCCGGUUGCUAGCAGGUAAUGCUGAGAACUCCAGGGAGACUGCCGGUGACAAACCGGAGGAAGGUGGGGAUGACGUCAGGUCAUCAUGGCCCUUACGGCCAGGGCUACACACGUGCUACAAUGGCGCGUACAGAGGGCUGCCAACUCGCGAGAGUGAGCCGAUCCCUUAAAACGCGUCGUAGUCCGGAUCGGAGUCUGCAACUCGACUCCGUGAAGUCGGAAUCGCUAGUAAUCGCGAAUCAGAAUGUCGCGGUGAAUACGUUCCCGGGCCUUGUACACACCGCCCGUCACACCAUGGGAGUGGAUUGCACCAGAAGUAGUUAGUCUAACCUUCGGGAGGACGAUUACCACGGUGUGGUUCAUGACUGGGGUGAAGUCGUAACAAGGUAACCGUA
rnacentral:rRNA from 1 species